rnacentral:rRNA from 1 species
UCAUGGCUCAAAGCGAACGCUGGCGGCAGGCUUAACACAUGCAAGUCAAGCGGGCCCUUCGGGGUCAGCGGCGGACGGGUGAGUAACUCGUGGGAACGUGCCUUCUGGUUCGGAAUAACCCUGGGAAACUAGGGCUAAUACCGGAUACUCCCUUUUGGGGAAAGGUUUACUGCCGGACGAUCGGCCCGCGUCUGAUUAGAUAUUUGGUGGGGUAACGGUCUACCAAGGCGACCAUCAGUAGCUGGUCUGAGAGGAUGAUCACCCACACUGGGACUGAGACACGGCCCAUACUCCUACGGGAGGCAGCAGUGGGGAAUAUUGGACAAUGGGCGCGAGCCUGAUCCAGCCAUGCCUGCGUGAGUGAUGAAGUUCCUUAGGGUUGUAAAGCUCUUUUAUCCGGGACGAUAAUGACGGUACCGGAGGAAUAAGCCCCGGCUAACUUCGUCCCAGCAGCCGCGGUAAUACGAAGGGGGCUAGCGUUGCUCUGAAUCACUGGGCGUAAAGGGCGCGUACGCGGCGUUUUAAAUCUGGGGUGAAAGCCUGUGGCUCAACCACAUAAUGGCCUUCGAUACUGGGACGCUUGGAGUAUAGUAGAGGUUGGUGGAACUGCGUGGGUAUAGGUGAAAUUCGUAGUAUAUUUGGCAAGAACACUCGGUGGUGAAGGCGGCCUACUGGACCAUUACUGAAGUUGAGGCGCGAAAGCGUGGGGAGCAAACAGGCAUUAGAUACGGUGGUAGUCCACGCCGUAAACGAUGAAUUGCCAGCUGUUGGGGUGCUUGCGUCGCAGUAGCGCAGCUAACGCUUUGAGCAUUCCGCGUGGGGAGUACGGUUGCAAGAUUAAAACUCAAAGGAAUAUGACGGGGGCCCGUACAAGUGGUGGAGCAUGUGGUUUAAUUCGAAGCAACGCGCAGAACCUUACCAUCGUUUUACAUGGCGUGUUACCCAGAGAGAUAUGGGGUUUCCUUCGGGGGCGCGCACUCAGGUGCUGCAUGGUUGUCGUCAGGUCGGGUCGUGAGAUGUUUGGUUAAGUCCCGCUACGAGCGCAACCCACGUCUUUAGUUGCCAUCAUUCAGUUGGGCACUCUAGGGAGACUGCCGGUUAUAAGCCGCGAGGAAGGCGUGGAUGACGUCAAGUCUUCAUGGCCUUUACGGGAUGGGCUACACACGUGAUACAAUGGCGGUGACAGUGGGAGGCGAAGGAGCGAUCUGGAGCAAAUCCCCAAAAGCCGUCUCAGUUCGGAUUGCACUCUGCCACUCGAGUGCAUGAAGGCGGAAUCGCUAGUAAUCGUGGAUCAGCAUGCCACGGUGAAUACGUUCCCGGGCUUUGCACACACCGCCCGUCA